rnacentral:rRNA from 1 species
GACGAACGCUGGCGGCGUGCUUAACACAUGCAAGUCGAACGGAGGGGCGAACGGGUGAGUAACACGUGGGUGACCUGCCCUGCACUUCGGGAUCAGCCUGGGAAACUGGGGCUAAUCCCGGAUAGUGGGGGAUGGCCUCGCGUCCUAUCAGCUUGUUGGUGGGGUAGUGGCCUACCAAGGCGACGACGGGUAGCCGGCCUGAGAGGGCGACCGGCCACAUUGGGACUGAGAUACGGCCCAAACUCCUACGGGAGGCAGCAGUGGGGAAUAGUGCACAAUGGGGGCAACCCUGAUGCAGCAACGCCGCGUGCGGGAUGACGGCCUUCGGGUUGUAAACCGCUUUCAGCCAUGACGCGGUAGUGGCAGAAGAAGCACCGGCUAACUACGUGCCAGCAGCCGCGGUAAUUC